rnacentral:lncRNA from 1 species
AUUUCCUCAGUUUCUGUGCUUGGGCUUCCUGGAAUUUCCCUCAUUUUUGUGCCUGGAUUUCCUGGAAUUUCCCUCAUUUCUGUGCCUGGAUUUCCAGGAUUCUCCCCAAUUUCCGGGCUCCCCAUUGUCCCUCCUGCUGCCCUCCCCAAGCUGAACUGGGAGGGGAAACUGGUCCCAGUUCACCCCCGGGCCAGCAAAGAUGGCGGCGCCCAUGAGCAACAUGGCGGCGCCCACUGGGAGAAAGGGCCUCAAGCCCCGCCCCCGGCGCAGGAUUGGCUGGUGGGAGCCGGGAAGAGCCGAAGUGCUCCGGAAAGAGCCGAGUGUGAGGCGAGGGAGAGAGAAACGCGAUCGGCGCUUUUCGGAGCGCCUCGCCCCGCCCCCUUUUCCGGAAGAACCCGAAGUGUUCCGGAAAGAGCCGAGCGUGGAGCGCGGGAAACAGAAACGAAGCGGCUGCCGGAAAGAGCCGAGGGGCGGCGAUCGGCUUUUCGGAGCGCCUCGCCCCGCCCCCUUUUCCGGAAGAACCCGAAGUAUUCCGGAACGACCCGAAGCGGGGUCGAAGCGCCGGAACGAGUCGAUCUCCUUCCGGAAGAAGCCGAAGCGCCCUCGGGCCCGCCGGAGUCUUUCCACAAAGUGCUGAGGGGUCCCUCCUCUCUUCCGGAGACCCCCCGAGCCCCUCCCCCCCUUCCUGAAGACCCCCGAGCCCCUCCCCUCCCCCCCCGUUUUCCGGAGAUCCCCGAAGCGGUUCCGGAGUUCCCUGAAGCGGCUCCCGAGCGGCGCCGGCGGAGCCCGAGGCCGUUCCGCCGCCCCCCGAAACGGUUCCGAAGUGGGUCCGGAAAGUCCGAGGCGACUCCGGAGUUUGCCGAGAGAUUCCGAAGCCCUGCGGAGGUUCUCGAAGCGAUUCCAGAGACCCGCGAAGCGGCCCCGGAGAUCGCCCAGAGGUUCCGAAGCGGUUCCGGAGAGUCCCGAACCUCCUCCCCCGUUCCGGAAGGUUCCGAGCGGCUCCGGACAUCGCUGAGACCGUUCCGCAAAGCCCCGAAACGGUUCCGAAGCGGUUCCGGAAGUCGCCAAGCACCUCCGGAGCUUCCCGAAGCGCUUCCGGAAACUCCCGAAGUCGUACCGAAGCAAUUCCGGAGCUUCACGAAGAGAUCCCGGAAGUUGGCGAAGCGGUUCCGGAGAGUCCCGAGCGGCUGCGGAAGUUGCCGAGCGGCUCCGGAAGUUGCCGAGCCGGCCGGCCCUCAGCGCUCGCCCCCGGCCCCCGGAGCCCCCGUCGCCUCCGGAGCCCCCGAACCGGAGCCGCCCCCGGCCCGGCCCCUCUCCCUCGGCCCCGGGGGGGGCCCGGACCCGCCCCGGCCCCGCCGCCCCGUCCCGGCAGGAUGA